rnacentral:rRNA from 1 species
UACGUAGGGAGCAAGCGUUGUCCGGAAUCAUUGGGCGUAAAGCGCGCGUAGGCGGCCCCGUAAGUCCGCUGUGAAAGUCAAAGGCUCAACCUUUGAAAGCCGGUGGAUACUGUGGGGGCUAGAGUCCGGAAGAGGCGAGUGGAAUUCCUGGUGUAGCGGUGAAAUGCGCAGAGAUCAGGAGGAACACCGGUGGCGAAGGCGGGUCUCUGGGCAGUGAACUGACGCUGAGGAGCGAAAGCGUGGGGAGCGAACAGG